rnacentral:rRNA from 1 species
CCCUUAGAUGUCCUGGGCCGCACGCGCGCUACACUGAGUGUCUGAGAUACGAGUCUGCCUGGUCCGGCAAGGUCUAGGUAAUCGCUAAAAGACACAUCAUGCUUGGGAUAGAUUAUUGCAAAUAUUAAUCUUGAACGAGGAAUUCCUAGUAAGCGCAAGUCAACAGCUUGCGUUGAUUACGUACCUGCCCUUUGUACACACCGCCCGUCGCUACUACUGAUUGGAUGUUUAAGCGAGGUUCUCGAACUGCUAGCGACUUAGCUUCGGUGAGGUCGCAGUGUGGGAAGUGAACCUAGCUUUGGUGUCUAGAGGAAGUAAAAGUCGUAACA